rnacentral:rRNA from 1 species
UACGUAGGGGGCAAGCGUUGUCCGGAAUCAUUGGGCGUAAAGCGCGUGUAGGCGGGUCGGUAAGUCCGCUCUGAAAGCCCGGGGCUCAACCCCGGGAGGCGGGUGGAUACUGUCGACCUCGAGUCCGGAAGAGGCGAGUGGAAUUCCUGGUGUAGCGGUGAAAUGCGCAGAUAUCAGGAGGAACACCGGUGGCGAAGGCGGCAUCCUGGACCGGCAUUGACGCUGAACAGCGAAAGCCAGGGGAGCAAACGGG